rnacentral:rRNA from 1 species
ACAGAGUGACAGGUGGUGCAUGGUUGUCGUCAGCUCGUGUCGUGAGAUGUUGGGUUAAGUCCCGCAACGAGCGCAACCCUUGAUCUUAGUUGCCAGCAUUUAGUUGGGCACUCUAAGGUGACUGCCGGUGACAAACCGGAGGAAGGUGGGGAUGACGUCAAAUCAUCAUGCCCCUUAUGACCUGGGCUACACACGUGCUACAAUGGAUGGUACAAAGGGCUGCAAGACCGCGAGGUCAAGCCAAUCCCAUAAAACCAUUCUCAGUUCGGAUUGUAGGCUGCAACUCGCCUACAUGAAGCUGGAAUCGCUAGUAAUCGCGGAUCAGCAUGCCGCGGUGAAUACGUUCCCGGGCCUUGUACACACCGCCCGUCACACCACGAGAGUUUGUAACACCCGAAGUCGGUGGAGUAACCGUAAGGAGCUAGCCGCCUAAU